rnacentral:lncRNA from 1 species
AAAAUUGUUCUGCAAUGAUCACCAGUCAUGCAGCUUUCAUUUGAUACCAAAAUUAAUAAAAUAUUCUAAAUAUAUUGAAAGUUAUGUCCAUGCGUAGGAACUAUUUUGUGUUAAAUAUGUACUACUUUCUGGUAUGUGCUUUCUGGCCGGGCCUGAAUUAGUGGUGUUACACCUAUAACAGAACCAAACUUGCUAUAUUGACUUGAGCAUUACUUUAUUUCAUUCUAUGAUCUAUUUCAAGCAAUAAAAAACAUAUAAAGCUUUAGUCCAAAUACUAUUUUAUUAAUUUUAAGCUCAAAUUGGACUGGUA